rnacentral:lncRNA from 1 species
GUGCGGACGGUCGGUAGUUGAAGAAGUUUAGGGAUUGAGAUGAGGCGGAAUAGAGCGUAUUCAUGGAACAGAGUGCUUGAUACCAUGUUGAAAAACAGAACAAAUAGAAGAGAAGGUGAAGACGAGGAUUCAGAGGAAGAAGGAAUACUUCUCUAGGACCAAAAGGGUCCUUUUUAUUAAUUUUAAUGGGCUCAAUUUAGGAAUUAUACAAAUAUAUUUUCCUCUAAUUAGACGAUUGCAUUC